AGUGAAGAAUGGCGUUUUUGUGGCGUGCUCCCACAGUUACUUUGCAGCAGAAGGACCAACCUAGUUGGAAAGAGUCACUAAUGCGAGUGUCUCUAUUAUUAGCCUGGUCCCUGAAGACUCCAGAGUGUGAGCGGCAUCACUCAGAGGGGAGAGGAAACGCCCGCCGGCCGUCAGAGGCGGGAACUGUUGCCCGGCAUACACCGGUCCGAUCGCGCCGCCGUCGGGCGUGGCCGCGCUGUAUGCUGGGAGGCGUAGUCUCUUCGGGACGGACCCUCGGACGCGAGGAGUUUGCCAAAGCUGUGUUCUGGAUGAGACCGGACAAGGAACCUUCCACUAAGUGAAUAUCAAGAAAGGAACAAACUUCACCAGUUCCAAAGGGGUUGUGUGAGACUCUGGACCACCCAAGAUUCCCAGAGAAAGCAGCUGAGGAAGACUGCUGUAACCCUACUCUGAGGCUUCUUCCAACCCAGUCUCUGACUGCAGCCCUUUCUGGUCUUCAACCCAAGGAGAGCUGGAAUGGACUUCAAGAGUCAUCUGGUCCAGGGAUUUUUUUCAAACUCUUCAGCGCCCCCUUAGGGCCACCAUGUAUGUAAUCAAAGAGAGUAAGCAGGGUCAACUGUCCUUGGGUGCUGGAUCCACAGAAGUCCUCUGUCCAGAAUCUUGGGCUCAGUCCACACGUGUUCGCAGGGAAAGGUGAGGGUCCUGGAGUGUGCUCCCUGCCCCCCCCCCCGCGUCCUUUCUGCUGACCACAGCCAAGGUGAGAGCCCAGGCACCCCCUCCCCAGCACAUCCCUGAGACUUUACGUCUGUUCGAGCUCAAAGGAACAAAAGAACGAUGUGGCGGGACCGCAGCUGGCUCUUCAGGACACAGUCAUUUUGUAGCCGUGGCUGACCUGGAGGCCACCGAAUCCAGCAUCGGCUUCAGUUUCACAUUGACCUUCACCAACGCCUAAAAUAAAACAAAAGCAGGUGGAGGAGAGGAACCGGAGUCACUGCUGUGAUUUUCUAGCUUUUACGUGUGAGGAGAAUGGAAACUGCUGUAAGAAAUGGAAGUGAUGAUUUUGGUAAACGUGAGCUAUUUGCAAGAAAUAACUAUGCGCUUAACGCCACUGUGUUGCAUUAAUAAAGCUCAUGCAGAAAAUGAAAAAA